rnacentral:rRNA from 1 species
GACGAACGCUGGCGGCGUGCUUAACACAUGCAAGUCGAACGGAAAGGCCCUGCUUGCAGGGUACUCGAGUGGCGAACGGGUGAGUAACACGUGGGUGAUCUGCCCUGCACUUCGGGAUAAGCUUGGGAAACUGGGUCUAAUACCGGAUAGGAGCCAUCUUUAGUGUGGUGGUUGGAAAGUUUUUUCGGUGUAGGAUGAGCUCGCGGCCUAUCAGCUUGUUGGUGGGGUAAUGGCCUACCAAGGCGGCGACGGGUAGCCGGCCUGAGAGGGUGUACGGCCACAUUGGGGCUGAGAGACGGCCCAGACUCCUACGGGAGGCAGCAGUGGGGAAUAUUGCACAAUGGGCGCAAGCCUGAUGCAGCGACGCCGCGUGGGGGAUGAAGGCCUUCGGGUUGUAAACUCCUUUCGCUAGGGACGAAGCUUUUUUGUGACGGUACCUAGAGAAGAAGCACCGGCUAACUACGUG